rnacentral:tRNA from 1 species
GGUUGCUUGGUCUAGUGGUAUGAUUCUUCGUUCGGGUCGAAGAAGUCCUGGGUUCGAUUCCCAGAGCAACCC